UCGAACGAACAAGAAAAGUCUUGGAAGAGGUGAAGGCGGGAUUGUCGCUGGCCAACUUGUGGGUGAUUCCGCUGGCAUGUGCAUGUGCACGUCCCCCUUCGCUUGUUUCAUCUCUUUUUCUCUACACCCGUGCACUCAUUGUAGGUCCUCGAGAGAGGAUCUAUGUUUUCCAUCCACCAUAAAGUAUGUUUGUAGAAGGUCAUGAUAAAUUUAUA
rnacentral:misc_RNA from 1 species